AGGCAUUCAAGCCCAGGUUGUGGGGAGUGGGAGAGAUGCUAUAGAUCUCUUAGCCUCUGGGGUGAACUUUGAUCUCAUUAUCAUAGCUAUGGUGCUCCCGAUCAUGAACGGGGUUGAGACCACUAGGCAAAUUCGAGCAAUGGGCAUUCGUAGCAAAAUGUUGGGCGUUACUGCUUGCUCAUAUGAAAGGGAGAGACGAGCGUUUUUGGAUGCUGGUGUGGAUGAGUUUAUUGAGAAGCCGCUUACUCCUCAAAAGUUGGCAUCUGUUUUGAGAGAGAUCAGAAAUGCUUGAAAGAAAGGUGGACCCAAUAGAAGACCCGAUUAAGUUCUGCUAAGUCAUGUCUUGCUGUCUAUUUUUCUCUCUCUUCUAUUUUUUUCUCCCUGAAGUUGAUGUACUAUUGUCACUAGACAAACAAAGAAUAUUUAUAGUGACAAUUGUAAUAAUAAUAAUAUUAGAAAAUUGGGUCCUCUAACUUUAAUGAGAAAGUGUUAGUGGUUAGUUUGUUUGAA